UUAGGAAUCUUGCACAAUGGGGGCAACCCUGAUGCAGCGACACAGCGUGGAGGAUGAAGGUCUUCGGAUUGUAAACUCCUUUUAUAUGGGACGAAUAGAUGACGGUACCAUAUGAAUAAGUACCUGCUAACUACGUGCCAGAAGCAUCGGUGAUGCGUAGGGUACAAACGUUAUCCGGAUUAAUUGGGCGUAUAGAGAAGCGUAGGCGUUUUUGUCAGUCUUUAGUUAAAGACCACGGCCUAACCGUGGGAGAGCUCGAGAUACUACAAAAAUUGAGACAGGAAUGGGCGAAUGGAAUUCCCAGUGGAGCGGUAAAAUGCGUUGAUAUUGGGAGGAACAUCAGUGGCGAAGGCGAUUCGCUGGUCCUUGUCUGACGCUAAGGCUCGAAAGCGUGGGUAGCAAAACGG
rnacentral:rRNA from 1 species